AUUGAACGCUGGCGGCAGGCCUAACACAUGCAAGUCGAACGGUAACAGGAAGAAGCUUGCUUCUUUGCUGACGAGUGGCGGACGGGUGAGUAAUGUCUGGGAAACUGCCUGAUGGAGGGGGAUAACUACUGGAAACGGUAGCUAAUACCGCAUAACGUCGCAAGACCAAAGAGGGGGACCUUCGGGCCUCUUGCCAUCGGAUGUGCCCAGAUGGGAUUAGCUAGUAGGUGGGGUAACGGCUCACCUAGGCGACGAUCCCUAGCUGGUCUGAGAGGAUGACCAGCCACACUGGAACUGAGACACGGUCCAGACUCCUACGGGAGGCAGCAGUGGGGAAUAUUGCACAAUGGGCGCAAGCCUGAUGCGGCCAUGCCGCGUGUAUGAAGAAGGCCUUCGGGUUGUAAAGUACUUUCAGCGGGGAGGAAGGGAGUAAAGUUAAUACCUUGGCUCAUUGACGUUACCCGCAGAAGAAGCACCGGCUAACUCCGUG
rnacentral:rRNA from 1 species